rnacentral:rRNA from 1 species
GGGUUGUGAGGUUAAGCGACUAAGCGUACACGGUGGAUGCCCUGGCAGUCAGAGGCGAUGAAGGACGUGCUAAUCUGCGAAAAGCGUCGGUAAGGUGAUAUGAACCGUUAUAACCGGCGAUGUCCGAAUGGGGAAACCCAGUGCAAUUCGUUGCACUAUCGUUAACUGAAUACAUAGGUUAACGAGGCGAACCGGGGGAACUGAAACAUCUAAGUACCCCGAGGAAAAGAAAUCAACCGAGAUUCCCCCAGUAGCGGCGAGCGAACGGGGAGCAGCCCAGAGUCUGAAUCAGCUUGUGUGUUAGUGGAACGGUCUGGAAAGUCCGACGGUACAGGGUGAUAGUCCCGUACACCAAAAUGCACAGGCUGUGAACUCGAAGAGUAGGGCGGGACACGUGGUAUCCUGUCUGAAUAUGGGGGGACCAUCCUCCAAGGCUAAAUACUCCUGACUGACCGAUAGUGAACCAGUACCGUGAGGGAAAGGCGAAAAGAACCCCGGCGAGGGGAGUGAAAAAGAACCUGAAACCGUGUACGUACAAGCAGUGGGAGCACCUUCGGGUGUGACUGCGUACCUUUUGUAUAAUGGGUCAGCGACUUAUAUUCUGUAGCAAGGUUAACCGUAUAGGGGAGCCGCAGGGAAACCGAGUCUUAACUGGGCGUUAAGUUGCAGGGUAUAGACCCGAAACCCGGUGAUCUAGCCAUGGGCAGGUUGAAGGUUGGGUAACACUAACUGGAGGACCGAACCGACUAAUGUUGAAAAAUUAGCGGAUGACUUGUGGCUGGGGGUGAAAGGCCAAUCAAACCGGGAGAUAGCUGGUUCUCCCCGAAAGCUAUUUAGGUAGCGCCUCGUGAACUCAUCUUCGGGGGUAGAGCACUGUUUCGGCUAGGGGGUCAUCCCGACUUACCAACCCGAUGCAAACUACGAAUACCGAAGAAUGUUAUCACGGGAGACACACGGCGGGUGCUAACGUCCGUCGUGAAGAGGGAAACAACCCAGACCGCCAGCUAAGGUCCCAAAGUCAUGGUUAAGUGGGAAACGAUGUGGGAAGGCACAGACAGCCAGGAUGUUGGCUUAGAAGCAGCCAUCAUUUAAAGAAAGCGUAAUAGCUCACUGGUCGAGUCGGCCUGCGCGGAAGAUGUAACGGGGCUAAACCAUGCACCGAAGCUGCGGCAGCGACACUAUGUGUUGUUGGGUAGGGGAGCGUUCUGUAAGCCUGCGAAGGUGACCUGUGAGGGUUGCUGGAGGUAUCAGAAGUGCGAAUGCUGACAUAAGUAACGAUAAAGCGGGUGAAAAGCCCGCUCGCCGGAAGACCAAGGGUUCCUGUCCAACGUUAAUCGGGGCAGGGUGAGUCGACCCCUAAGGCGAGGCCGAAAGGCGUAGUCGAUGGGAAACAGGUUAAUAUUCCUGUACUUGGUGUUACUGCGAAGGGGGGACGGAGAAGGCUAUGUUAGCCGGGCGACGGUUGUCCCGGUUUAAGCAUGUAGGCUGAUUGUCCAGGCAAAUCCGGAUAAUCAAGGCUGAGGUGUGAUGACGAGGCACUACGGUGCUGAAGUAACAAAUGCCCUGCUUCCAGGAAAAGCCUCUAAGCAUCAGGUAACAUUAAAUCGUACCCCAAACCGACACAGGUGGUCAGGUAGAGAAUACCAAGGCGCUUGAGAGAACUCGGGUGAAGGAACUAGGCAAAAUGGUGCCGUAACUUCGGGAGAAGGCACGCUGGUGUGUAGGUGAAGCCCCUGCGGGUGGAGCUGAGACCAGUCGAAGAUACCAGCUGGCUGCAACUGUUUAUUAAAAACACAGCACUGUGCAAACACGAAAGUGGACGUAUACGGUGUGACGCCUGCCCGGUGCCGGAAGGUUAAUUGAUGGGGUUAUCCGUAAGGAGAAGCUCUUGAUCGAAGCCCCGGUAAACGGCGGCCGUAACUAUAACGGUCCUAAGGUAGCGAAAUUCCUUGUCGGGUAAGUUCCGACCUGCACGAAUGGCGUAAUGAUGGCCAGGCUGUCUCCACCCGAGACUCAGUGAAAUUGAACUCGCUGUGAAGAUGCAGUGUACCCGCGGCAAGACGGAAAGACCCCGUGAACCUUUACUAUAGCUUGACACUGAACAUUGAGCCUUGAUGUGUAGGAUAGGUGGGAGGCUUUGAAGCGUGGACGCCAGUCUGCGUGGAGCCAACCUUGAAAUACCACCCUUUAAUGUUUGAUGUUCUAACGUUGGCCCCUGACCGGGGUUGCGGACAGUGUCUGGUGGGUAGUUUGACUGGGGCGGUCUCCUCCCAAAGCGUAACGGAGGAGCACGAAGGUUAGCUAAUCCUGGUCGGACAUCAGGAGGUUAGUGCAAUGGCAUAAGCUAGCUUGACUGCGAGCGUGACGGCGCGAGCAGGUGCGAAAGCAGGUCAUAGUGAUCCGGUGGUUCUGAAUGGAAGGGCCAUCGCUCAACGGAUAAAAGGUACUCCGGGGAUAACAGGCUGAUACCGCCCAAGAGUUCAUAUCGACGGCGGUGUUUGGCACCUCGAUGUCGGCUCAUCACAUCCUGGGGCUGAAGUAGGUCCCAAGGGUAUGGCUGUUCGCCAUUUAAAGUGGUACGCGAGCUGGGUUUAGAACGUCGUGAGACAGUUCGGUCCCUAUCUGCCGUGGGCGCUGGAGAAUUGAGGGGGGCUGCUCCUAGUACGAGAGGACCGGAGUGGACGCAUCACUGGUGUUCGGGUUGUCAUGCCAAUGGCACUGCCCGGUAGCUAAAUGCGGAAGAGAUAAGUGCUGAAAGCAUCUAAGCACGAAACUUGCCCCGAGAUGAGUUCUCCCUGAGACUAUAAGUCUCCUGAAGGAACGUUAAAGACGAUGACGUUGAUAGGCCGGGUGUGUAAGCGCAGCGAUGCGUUGAGCUAACCGGUACUAAUGAACCGUGAGGCUUAACCUUACAACGCCGAAG